rnacentral:rRNA from 1 species
UACGUAGGGGGCAAGCGUUGUCCGGAUUUAUUGGGCGUAAAGCGUGCGCAGGCGGCGCGUUAAGACAGGUGUGAAAGCCCCGAGCUUAACUUGGGAAUUGCGCUUGUGACUGGCGAGCUGGAGUGUGGCAGAGGGAGGUGGAAUUCCACGUGUAGCAGUGAAAUGCGUAGAGAUGUGGAGGAACACCGAUGGCGAAGGCAGCCUCCUGGGCCAGCACUGACGCUCAUGCACGAAAGCGUGGGGAGCAAACAGG